CCUGCCCAGUGAAUUUUAAACGGCCGCGGUAUCCUAACCGCGCGAAGGUAGCAUAAUCACUUGUUCUUUAAAUGGGGACUCGUAUCAACGGCAUCACGAGGGUUUUACUGUCUCCUCUUUUUGAUCAGUGAAAUUGAUCUUCCCGUGAAGAAGCGGGAAUAUUUUUAUAAGACGAGAAGACCCCAUGGAGCUUUAAACCAAAUAACAACUUAACUACUUAUCCCACAAUAAAUUUAAGCCCUGUUAUAAGGUUUUUGGUUGGGGUGACCGCGGAGUAAAGCACAUCCUCCACGACGGAAAGAACAUAAUCUUUAUUUAAGAACCACACUUCUAGAAAUUAGUAUACUAACGUUUACUGACCCGACAAUCGAUCAACGGACCAAGUUACCCUGGGGAUAACAGCGCAAUCUACUUCAAGAGCUCAUAUCGACAAGUAGGCUUACGACCUCGAUGUUGGAUCAGGGUAUCCCGGUGGUGCAGCCGCUACCGAAGGUUCGUUUGUUCAACGAUUAAAACC
rnacentral:rRNA from 1 species